rnacentral:lncRNA from 1 species
UCGCUGCUAGGUAGGAUAUAUCUGCAUCUUGAAAGGAAGAUAAAACAAAAGCCUUCUUUGGAAUAGAUGGAUUUUUGUCACUUUCUGUGUGAACUAAAGUGAUUCAAUGUCUCUUUUGGAUUGCUUCUGCACUUCAAGAACACAAGAUGAAUCACUCAGACCUGAAAAACAGUCUGAAACCAGUAUCCAUCAAUACUUGGAAGAGGAUUUGACAACUUGACUUCUGUCCAUCUUGCAUGGCAUACUCCCACGGGAACACUGGUAACUAUAAAAAUUACAAAUCUGGAAAACUGCAAUGAAGAACGCCUGAAAGCUUUACAGAAAGCCGUGAUUCUAUCCCACUUUUUCCGGCAUC